UUUCUUUAUCUGGUCCUUUUCAACCUUUCUCUUAAGAAACUUGAGUGGGCGUGGUGGGCUACUUUCUCAAGAAAAUCCCAGAUAAGCAGCCGAAGUUCUUUGUCUGACCUUUGGUUUUUUGUUUCUUUAUUUAUUUAUUUCUCCCUUUUUUUUUCAAGUAUAGAUUGUAGUGGUGGAGAAGAGAUCUGAGAGUGGUUAGUGUCUUUUCAAGCAAACCAACCACAUCUCCUGGGAAUGGGAUAGAUCAUACAUUGAUGGGCCAAAACUUUUUUUUUUUUUUUUUU
rnacentral:misc_RNA from 1 species